CACAAUGGCUGCACUCGGGUGAGCCAGAGAAUACGGUACUGCUCUGUCCAGGGAGCUAGAAGCCUCAGAAGGAGACCAACGAUGCAGCCCCUGUCUGGAGGCCUGGGAGCUCCCAGGAGAGUCACUGCUGAGUCCACAGACAGCCUGAUGUCCACAGGCAAUGGCAGCACAACAUUCACCAUCACACUCUUUUAGAACUCAAUACCUCUAAAGGAGAAUUGCAGACUUUAGCCCUGAUCUCCCCUUUGCCUGGACAGGAUGACUCAUCAGGGCCACACUGCUGAAGUCAGUGCACAGGCUCUUCACCUGAACGGAUGUUUCCAGCCAGAGUUAUGAUGUGUCCCGGGCUAAUGAGAUUUUGCCGGGAAUCCAUUUGGAAGGCAGGCAGAGGUUGGCCUGUGCGAAGCAAGGAGGUGGCUCGGGAUCCUUUCCAGCGUCUCCUGUGAAUCCUGCAGAUGGUCACACAGGGUUUCGGGCCCGGCUGGUGUUGAGCCAGGUAUUUUGCUUGACAGUUCCUAUCAGAUAAAGGAUUAAUUGGUUGUCAAGAUUUGGAGCUUAGAAGUGAUUUCCCCUGACUGAGAAACUGGGAGACAGAAGCUGUCCUUCUGUGAGCUGCUGGCCGAGGCUGAGUCUUGAGUGGUCUGUGUACUGGGUCAGGUUUAUGCUCAAGGUGAAGCCCACAGGCUGGGUCAGUAAUUCUCACUCAGCCUAGGCUUAUGAAAUCCAAGCACUGCCUUUUGUCUUGCACUUAGAAAACACCAUGUGAGAGUAUCUGGCCUGUGGGGGGCGGAUCUUUCCAGCUACUUCUUGCAGCUGAACUCAGACAGGUGUGCUUCCGACCUUAGCGUCACUCUGACUGUGAGUUUAGUUUCUGUAAG